rnacentral:tRNA from 1 species
GGCCCUAUCGUCUAGCGGUCAGGACGCCGCCCUCUCAAGGCGGAAACGGGGGUUCGAUUCCCCCUAGGGCUACCA